rnacentral:rRNA from 1 species
UACGGGGGGGGCAAGCGUUGUUCGGAAUUACUGGGCGUAAAGGGCUCGUAGGCGGCCAACUAAGUCAGACGUGAAAUCCCUCGGCUUAACCGGGGAACUGCAUCUGAUACUGGAUGGCUUGAGUUCGGGAGAGGGAUGCGGAAUUCCAGGUGUAGCGGUGAAAUGCGUAGAUAUCUGGAGGAACACCGGUGGCGAAGGCGGCAGUCCUGGACCGGCACUGACGCUGAGGAGCGAAAGCCAGGGGAGCAAAGCAGGAUAGAUAC